rnacentral:sRNA from 2 species
UUAUAUUCUCCACAGGGGGGGAUAAGAACCCCCGACCGGGGUUCGACAACUGGCGCAGCCAGUUGGACAGACCGCGAGCCUGCGAGCGGGCUGCCCCGCAGGGGCGAGCGAAGCGAGUCAAUCCCCCCCUCACCGCCA